AAAAACCUAAACUGAGAAUACGAGACAAAGAAAUUAGUGAUUAAAUUU
rnacentral:guide_RNA from 1 species